UUCCCUCUGGUGAAGAGUCGCCGAGUUGGCGGCCUGUCCGGAUCGAUCCCGGACUAACCAGGGGGUUUUUU
rnacentral:ncRNA from 1 species